ensembl:lncRNA
AGUACAUUUUCAUUACAAAAAUCGUAGAAGGCUAGGCACUGUGGCUCACACCUUUAAUCUUAGCACUUUGGGAGGCUGAGUCGGAUGGAUCACUUGACCUCAAGAGGUCAAGACCAGCCUGGGUAACAUGGCGAAACACCAUCUCUACAAAAAAUACAAAAAUUAGUCGGGCAUGGUGGUACACGCCUAUAGUCCCAGAUAGGAGGCUGAGGUAGGAGAAUCACGUGAGCCAGGGAGGUCGAGGCUGCAUGGUGCGGUCUCGGCUCACUGCAAGCUCCGCCUCCCAGGUUCACGCCAUUCUGCGUCAGCCUCCCGAGUAGCUGGGACCACAGGCACUCGCCACCACACCCAACUAGUUUUUUGUAGUUUUAGUAGAGACGGGGUUUCACCGUGUUAGCCAGGAUGGUCUCCAUCUCCUGACCUCAUGAUCCGCCCGCCUUGGCCUCUGAAAGUGCUGGGAUUACAGGCGUGAGCCAGCACGCCCGGCCCCUUUUUUUCUUUUCUUGAAUGAUGAUUUUGUUUUAUUUUUAUAGCUUUGAGAGGUAAUCAAAUCUACCACACUGUGUCUUUAUAUUUUCUUGGUUUGCCUUUAUGGGUGGAAACUCCUUCACCACCCUAAAGCUGAAAAAUGUUUUCCUAUAUUUUAUUACGGCUAUUUUGGUUUUAUUUUUUACAUUUAGCAUUUGAAUUUACAUUGGUGUAUGGUGUGAAGUUUAAGGACCUGUCUUUAACAAAUGGUUCCGCAUUGUUUCAGGGUAGCUCAUCAGAGAGGUGGCUGGGAAGCUCUAGCACUCCCCCCGAGGUGUCCCUGAUGGCACAGGGACUGGAGCAGGCUGGGCAGCAGCGGUGUGUCCUCUCCCAGUGGGCCCUGGGGCCUUGGGGAGAGAUCUCAUAGUGCACCUGCAGCUGAGCCCUGGCUCUGUGGCAUCUGCUCUGGGCUGUGCAGCCAGUGACCAGACACCGCUCUUGGCCUUGCCUCCGGAGAGAGCCUCAUUCCUGGCAUAGGCCGCUGAGCUCUUAGGCUUUCAAGAUUGGACCCUACAGCCUUGCAUUUGGGUGUGAACUGGGGCUGCUGGGACAUGGACCUCAGUCCUUUGUGUGGGGCAUGAUCGCAUUGCAGCCCGUCAGUCCUGGGAGGCGCCUUCCCUAUCACCAUGUCCCCACCCCUGCGUGAUCCAGCGGACUCCUGACUCCCAUGGCAAGACUCCACCCUGCUUUACUCAUAACUUCUGCCCAGCCCCACUCCCUUGACCUGAAUUGGUUUUGCUGUCAUAAAACCACCCCUUUUUUCUGUAAAGGAAUCCCUGACAUCCUCGUCCAUCUCCUGUGCCUUUCCGCUGGGUCAGCCUUCUCCCGCCACGCUUCUAACCCGCUGCCACCGGCAGCUCCACUCUAGCUGCAGGGCCUGACUGGGCUCUGGUUUCUCAGAAGAGCUCAGAGGACCUGGCUCCUCCCUCUUUGCUUCUGAACUGCAUUUCUUUCCUUAUUACUCAGUGUCCACACCCACGGUGGCUGCCUGGAUAAAAAUCUGCCCCCUUCUCCCGUCACCUUUCAUGCCAGACAAAAGCCCCAGUAAGUAAUGGCGACCUACCCAGGUCCGGCUAGCAGCUCUCCAUUCCUGAGGGGUCUGGGGCAGAACGGGGUCGUGUGAGCUCCUGGACCCCAAGUCUGAUUCCCUUUCCCUGUCUUCCCGCUCAUCUGCUAAGCUUGUUGAUUGGGUGCCACUAAGCAAAGUGAAUGAUUCUUGCCUGUAACUAGGAGGGGUGGAGUUCCCUCUCCAUCUUCACCCACUUCUGGGAGGCUUUCAGGGACUCACCACCCCACACUUGAUGCCUGGCCCAGACAGCCAAAGAAGAGGACCAGGCCGCUUCUCAACCCAGCUGACGCUUGGCAGCUUUGUGACCUCGGAUACACCUUCUCUUGGGAGGCCAGGCCCCGUGAUCCUAACUCUUCAGCUAUGACAUCAUGUGAGGCUACAAUUUUUUUUUUUAAGAGACAGUAUCUUGCUAUGUUGCCCGGGUUGGUUUUGAAAUCCUGGGCUUAGGCGAUUCUCCUGUCUCAGCCUCCCAAGUAGCUGGAACUUAGGGCGUGAGCCACCGCACCCACCUUCUGGAAAGGACAUGAAUAGGGAAGUGGAACUUGAUUGGACCUGUUCUGUGAGCUCAGGAGAGGUCCUCUGACAACUCACUUGGGGUAGGGAAAGGAGGUAAAGAGUCCUGUGGAAACCUCUGGCUGUGGGGACCCCAGUUCACUGAUGAUUGAAUGGGUCUACCUCUGUCAAAGGAGUUCAGAGUCCCACUCAUCAUUCAGACUGGGGGAAUCAGGCUCAGCUGACUGGCCCAGCCUUAAAUCCACUGAAUUUCUUUUUAUCUCUACAUAGAAAAACAGGAUUACAGUCGCUUCUCAGUGUCCAGUGAGGAUUGGUUCCUGGAGCCCCCCGAAUACCCGUCCAGGGGUGAUGCUCAAACCCCUUAUGUGUAACCUACACGCAUCCUCCCUUAUAUCCUUUAACUCAUCUCUGCGCUCCUCAAAUACCUCAUACCAUGUAAAUGCUGUGUAAACAGUUCUUGUGCUGUGUUGGUUUUUUAAUUUGUAUUAUUUUUUCUUGUGUUUUUAAAAUAUUUUUCUUUUCCUGAAUAUUUUUGAUCCACGGUUAGUUGCCUCCAUGGGUGCGGAACCCACAGACACGGAGGCUGCCUCUACUCAAACGAGCACGGCGGCGCCCUCUGGGUCCUCCUGUGGUCCUGUCUCUGGUGCUGCGUCCGCACGGCGGCGAACAGCAAAACUCAUCUUUUGCAAAUGAUCACUGUGGAGCGGAGUUCCGCUCUGUGACCUUUCGUCCCACUCUGGCUUACCAGAGGUCCCCUGGCCGUGGCCACAGCAUACCUAGCCUAGUGCUUGGCACCUCAGGCACACAAUAAAUCUUUAUGAAAUG